rnacentral:lncRNA from 1 species
GACAGCAUCCCAUAAGUAAGAAAAUCACUAAUAGUCCACACAAUGCAGUCUUCAUUAUAAAAUUUUACUUUUUCGAUACAUCAAAUGUACGUAUGCCAUCGGACCAUAAGAAUUUCAGCUUAUCGACAAGAGACCUUAGAUAUACAUCAAUGCUUCUACCAGGGUGCCGUGGUCUAGGAAUAACUAAUGUAAGAAAGAUGCUAUAUUCUU